AUGCUUGUUUUGGCAGCACAUAUACUAAAAUGGGAAUAAUAGAGAGAAUUAGCAUAACCCCUGAACAAGGGAAUAUGAAAAUUUGUGAAACAUAAUUGU
ensembl:snRNA U6 U6 spliceosomal RNA